AAACUAACAAAUGAGAUGAUGAUAUUUAGAACGGAAAACGGAGAUGCGUGCGGGUGCCUCCCCUUGCUUCCGCUGUAAUCUUUCUCCUCCGUCGUGUUACUAGGGUUUUCGAUUUUCAAAGUUUCACUUGACCUUCGUAUCUUCUAACUCACCACGUUUAUUCAUUGUCAAUGCGUUUCUGAAACCCAUAGUUGACUCUGUUCAACACAAAAUCGCUAUUCCUCCCCAGUUUCGUUUCAUAACUCGCGACCUCAAGAGAUAUAUAUAUCGACACACGCACUAUCCCGCGAUACGAUAGGAAACGUUGUUCCUUUGCGAUAAGCUGGAGAUGGCUAGAAGAACCAGUAACUGUGCUAUAUGCGAGAAUUCAAAUCAAGCUUCGAUAUGCUCGGUCUGUGUAAACUACAGGUUGAAUGAGUAUAAUACGUCCUUAAAAACACUUAAAGACCGUCGAGAUUUGUUGUACUCAAAAUUGAGCGAAGUUCUUGUUCUCAAGGGAAAGGGAGACGAUCAAACAAAUUGGAGAGUGCUUCAACAUGAAAAGCUUGCAAAGUUAAGGGAGAAGCUUUGUCACAGUAAAGAGCAAGUUACUCAAGGAAGAGCUAAGAUAGAGACUAUGUCUGCUGAUCUGAAACAUCGAUAUGGCUUGCUUGAAUCUGCCUUUUCUACGUUGGAAAAGAAUCGAGUGGAACAACUGGAGAAGUUCUACCCUAAUCUUAUAUGCACCCAGAGCUUAGGGCAUGUGGCGAUUACGUCUGAGCGUCUUCACAAACAGUCAGUGGUCAUAAAACAGAUAUGCAAGUUAUUCCCACAACGCCGGGUGGUCAUAGAGGGAGAGAGAAGAGAUGGUUAUAAUGGUAAAUACGAUCAAAUUUGCAAUGCACUAUUACCCAGAGCACUUGAUCCCCACUCUGUUCCAUCAGAAGAGCUUUCUGCUUCUUUGGGAUACAUGGUGCAACUUCUAAAUCUUCUUGUCCACAACUUGGCUGCCCCAGCACUUCAUAACUCGGGUUUUGCGGGUUCUUGCUCUCGAAUAUGGCAACGAGAUUCUUAUUGGGAUGCACGCCCUUCCUCAAGGAGUAAUGAAUAUCCCCUUUUCAUACCUCGUCAAAAUUAUUGCUCCACUGGUGGAGAAAACUCAUGGUCUGAUAGAAGCUCAAGCAAUUUUGGAGUCGCUUCAAUGGAAUCGGAGAGGAGGCCUCGCCUAGAUUCAUCUGGGAGUAGUAGCUUUAACUAUUCUUUAGCAUCUUCACAUUCUGUUCAAACACACAAGGAUUUGCAGAAAGGAAUUUCACUCUUGAAGAAAAGUGUAGCAUGCAUCACAGCUUACUGUUACAACUCCCUGUGUUUGGAUGUUCCUUCUGAGGCAUCAACAUUUGAGGCAUUUGCAAAGUUGCUAGCUACACUCUCGUCAUCCAAGGAAGUUCGAUCUGUUUUUUCCUUAAAAAUGUCCCGCUCUAGGACAUGUAAGCAAGUUCAACAAUUGAACAAAUCUGUAUGGAAUAUGAAUUCUACUAUUUCAUCAACUACUUUGCUGGAAAGUGCACAUUCUGUGCCCACAACGAGAAUUGAAAAUUAUCUGCCGAGUUCUGCUGCUAGUUUUCUUUAUGCGACUGAUUCAUCUGAUGGAAAAAAUGAGUGCCUAAUUGAAGGGUGGGAUAUUGUUGAGCAUCCCACUUUUCCUCCCCCACCAUCACAAAGUGAGGAUGUUGAGCACUGGACUCGGGCCAUGUUCAUAGAUGCUAAAAGGAAGUGAUCUUCAUCUGCAGUAGACUUCCUUUCAUCUCUGUUCAAGACUGGUGGAUUCAAAUUUAUAAAAGAUUGAUCUUGGCUUGAGUUUUAGCUGCACAUGCACCUGUGCCAUUAGUUUAAACUUUUGAACACAAGACAGCUGCCAGCUUAGUGUUAAACAAGUUGAAGGGAGUGAUGUUACCCUUGUCAGGUUGCAGGAGUGAAAAUCGACCUGAGAUUCUUCAGGAUUAAUUUGUAAAUUAAUUGGAACAUUUUUGUUCUUCUCCCCCGUCCCGGGGCGUGUAUAUAUAUAGAUUGUAGACUUACGGAAUUGACUGUGUAAUUAUUUACAGGCGAGGUUCAUUUUUUUGUGGGGGUCAUGAAAAGGAACAAAGCGAAGGGCUAGGUUCGUUGAAGUCUUAAAUAUUGCAUAUUCUCAUAAAUAAUUACUGAUUCAAUUUAGGCUUUUUUAUUUAAAUAUUGUAAAUUAAAAAAUAAAUUCUUUAUUUCUUGAUCUUUUAAAACUAUUUUCAGUGAAUCAGUUUACGG